CGCUUGUGUGCGCUGGGGCCAGGUCGUGGGUGCCCCCACCCUUCCCCCAUCCUCCUCCCUCCCCCACUCCACCCUCGUCGGUCCCCCACCCGCGCUCGUACGUGCGCCUCCGCCGGCAGCUCCUGACUCAUCGGGGGCUCCGGGUCACAUGCGCCCGCGCGGCCCUAUAGGCGCCUCCUCCGCCCGCCGCCCGGGAGCCGCAGCCGCCGCCGCCACUGCCACUCCCGCUCUCUCAGCGCCGCCGUCGCCACCGCCACCGCCACCGCCACCGCCACCGCCACCGCCACUACCACCGGCUGAGUCUGCAGUCCCGAGAUCCCAGCCAUCAUGUCCAUAGAGAAGAUCUGGGCCCGGGAGAUCCUGGACUCCCGCGGGAACCCCACAGUGGAGGUGGAUCUCUAUACUGCCAAAGGUCUUUUCCGGGCUGCAGUGCCCAGUGGAGCCUCUACGGGCAUCUAUGAGGCCCGGAG
rnacentral:lncRNA from 1 species